rnacentral:rRNA from 1 species
UACGGGGGGAGCAAGCGUUGUUCGGAUUUACUGGGCGUAAAGGGCGCGUAGGCGGUCAGCACAAGUCAGUUGUGAAAUCUCCGGGCUUAACUCGGAAAGGUCAACUGAUACUGUGCGACUAGAGUGCGGAAGGGGCAACUGGAAUUCUCGGUGUAGCGGUGAAAUGCGUAGAUAUCGAGAGGAAACACUGCGGCGAAGGCGGGUUGCUGGGCCGACACUGACGCUGAUGCGCGAAAGCCAGGGGAGCGAACGGG